GCCCGCUUGGCUAAGCGGUAUAGCGUGUCACUAGUAAUCUAGAUGCCAUGACAAGGUGAGCGGUUCGACUCCGCUAGUGGGCA